rnacentral:tRNA from 1 species
UACUAAGGUGGCAGACCAGUGCACUGGGUUUAAGCCCCAGCAACGAGGUACUUAAACCUCCCUUAGUAA